AUGGCCGGAGAGAUGGUACCAGCGAGUCCGCGGAAGGGCAGGCUCAGCGCGACCACCUGCGUCGGCCUCCUGCGCUUGCAUGUCACGCCCUCCCAGCUGCAGAAGUCGGCGCUGCUGUUCCAAGAGGCAAGCAUACUGGAGUUGCUGAGCCUGACCUUGAAAGCAACCAGCGCGGCCUCAUCGCUUGCAGCGGCGAUCACCAGGAUGGAGAAGAAGGAAGCUAAUAGCAAGCUCAUCUCACACGCUGCCAUGUCUUUUCCUGAAUUAGUUGAGUAUGUGAAUAGAGGCAACGUCUGGCAUCUGCAUAGUACUACCAUGCUUCAUGCCUGUGUUGUGUGGAUACAGUCUGAACAUGUUUGCAUUUGGUCAAUGAACUAA
rnacentral:rRNA from 1 species